CAGGCCUAACACAUGCAAGUCGAACGAGACCUUCGGGUCUAGUGGCGCACGGGUGCGUAACGCGUGGGAAUCUGCCCUUGGGUUCGGAAUAACGUCGGGAAACUGACGCUAAUACCGGAUAAUAUCGCGAGAUCAAAGAUUUAUCGCCCGAGGAUGAGCCCGCGUAGGAUUAGCUAGUUGGUGGGGUAAAGGCCUACCAAGGCGACGAUCCUUAGCUGGUCUGAGAGGAUGAUCAGCCACACUGGGACUGAGACACGGCCCAGACUCCUACGGGAGGCAGCAGUGGGGAAUAUUGGACAAUGGGCGCAAGCCUGAUCCAGCCAUGCCGCGUGAGUGAUGAAGGCCUUAGGGUUGUAAAGCUCUUUUACCCGGGAUGAUAAUGAC
rnacentral:rRNA from 1 species